rnacentral:misc_RNA from 1 species
GCGUACGUGUCCCACCGCUCGACACUGUAGAGGGUCUGGAGGUCGACUGUGGCUGAGGCUGUAGAGCCAGAUGAGACGUUGAGUUGCUCGAGUUGAGCACAGGUUCGGGCUGCGCUGAAUGUGACGGCGUAGGUGGCACCCUUCUCUACCUCCACUGUUUGGUGGAUUCCAGCCUCGUUUCCGAGUCGGACAGCAUGUUUCCCUUGUGGCACAAUGAGCAUCAUGACCCCCUGUUUCUGCCCGGCAUCCACCAACUCGACUGUCCCAUUAACUGUCCAUCCCGGAAUGGGAACGAUGGCCGCCGCCACCUCUCCCAAACCACCACGACCACUCAUAAAACCACCGGGCGGAGGUGUCUCAAAAUCCCCAUUAUUAAGUAACCCGUCUUCUACGACGGCGGCGGAGGCGCAGCGAGCGAGCAGCAGUGUGAGGAGGAGCAGAGGCGACAUCUCGCCGCGGAGAUGAUGAGAGCUACUGCAGUGAGUGUGGGGUGGUU